rnacentral:lncRNA from 1 species
CUAUGUGAAAAGGGGAGGUAAGAGGAAGCAUGUUAAAAAACCUCCCUCGAGCACAUAGCAAAGAUAAAUAAAUAUCACCUAUCUUUGCAACACCCUUCCCAAUUUUCUUUAACUUCACUGAAAUCAUCACCGUAUAUAACAGAGUAAUUAGGUUUAAGUGUGUUUUUUAGAUAAGAAAUUCACAGAAUCUAUCCUUGUUGAUAGAAAGAAAGCUAAUUUAAGAUGAAAAAGAAGUGCUCGCGGAUGUGAAUAAGACCACCAUGAAGCAUGCCUCCUUUGCAAUCAAUCUAUCAAAUCUGUUGUGCAUAUUUUCUGUCAGUGUCCCUUCUCUGUGGGAACGACUUGAGCUCCAUCAAGAUGCCUUGGUGGAGCAACGUCGCUACGUACUGGGAACCAAAAGAAUGCAACUGUUGCAGCCUAUUCUUCCUGGCAUAUUUGGAACGAACGAAAUCAAUGUAUUUUUCAGAACUCCAUCGCGAACCAUAGCGUUGCCGUCAGUCAGAGAUCAUCUUUGAUCUCGCCAAGCUGGGUGCCCCAAAUCCGCGGGUUUAAUCUCUCUCAUUGUUGCACAGUCAGCGCCUAAUGGCGACUGAACCCCUUUCUUGUUCUCCUAAACUAUUACAUGAAUCUUCCUAGUCUAUAAUGCAAAGGCCGACAGUAUUUCAAUCAAUACCUCUAAAUAUUCAAUUCAGGCGAGCAAUAGUGGAAGAAAGAUGGGCUGUCUGGAUGCACUUGGUAAGACGUUUGAUGGAUGUUCAACCGUCGAACCAGAUAGAUUCCGUUCACUGGAAAUUAACUACGUCUGGUAGGUUUACGGUGAAAUCAAUGUACAAUGAUUUAAUUAAUUCUGGAGCAUUUUCGAGAUCUUUACAUAUUUGGUAGAUCAAAGUGCCGCUCAGAAUUUAGAUUUUCAUGUGGUUCUUACACAAGGGGGUUGUGUUAACCAAAGAUAAUUUGAUUAGAAGAUGAUGGAUAGGCAGUCAUAAAUGUUGCUAUUGUGAUCGAAAUGAAACAAUUAAACACCUCUUUCUUGAUUGUCCUUUGACUAAACUUUUAUGACACACUGUACAAAUAGCUUUUAUCAUUUUUCAAUCAACAAGCAUUAGCACGCUAUUUGGAGCGUGGCUCAACGAAGUGGACAUAACUAUAACGAAUCAUAUCAGGAUUGGAAUAAGUGCACUAUUUUAGGCUAUAUGGAACACGAGAAUAAUUAAACCGUGCUAACACAUUGUCAUCAACAUGCUCACUACUUUAAGGAAACAGAUGCUUUUUACACCGAUAAAUCGCGAGUGGACAUGCAACCACGCGCGGUUUAAUAUCCACACCGCAUGUUACCACGUGAUUCGUGCAAGUCCAAUACUUAAGGCUGGUAUAAACCAAUAUGCCAUCUUGGUAUUGCCCUCGUAUUUGCCCAACGGAUAGCUGCACCACGCGGACGCUCCCCAUGCACGGUCCUUUUAAACUUCGUGUUGCUUCUCUCUCUGCCGCCCAACCUUCUUCUCACUUCUCCUCCAUUUCUCUCGGUCUUGCCGCAGCUCUCAACCAUUUGUUCAUUCAAGUCCCAACAUAGCUCCACUCCUCCGGCAUCACGCCACAGUCCACACCGCCAAACCAGGUGCCACCGCUCCCUCAUCAGUUGCCCGGAAUGCAACGCGGGGUAUGUGAUUUGCUUUGUAUGUGGAACGGAAGAAAACCCAAGAAGGCACUUCUGACUUUUUCAAGUGUGAACGGCAUGGAGUAAUUUUUUCAAGAUCAUCCCCGUCCAUCUCCUCAAGUUUGUUGUGUGAUUACAGUACGGGGAAGUCAGUUUCGGAAAGUGGGAGAACAAUUACAUACAGUACUUUAGCGCGGGAUGGGGGCAUCUGAUUACACAUGCAUCGCUUUAUCGCCACGUAUCACUUCUUGAACAGAAUCAAGCAUGGCUGAAGAACAUUUUCAUCCCGGGCGUCGUCAACCUGCUGGUCAUGGCCAUGAUCUUCAUGCGCAAACUCUGAAGCUCCCCUCCGGUGUGUUGGGAUAGCUAUAGCUUGCCUGGAACCAAUUAUGACACCCAAAUGUCAAAUGGCAAACCAACAGAUGGUGUUACCAACGUUUCUGAACCCCUCUCAGCAAAACCUGUCAGCGUUGUUUCUAGUGUAGUUACCCUUUCAGCGGUUGUUGACCUCUCGUCUGGCAUCGCAACUCUCCUUGGCGAACCUCAGCAUAAUUUAACAAAUCUGCUAAUCUACGAGUCGGUCAUCUUCAGUCACCUUUUGCUCCGUGCCGAGCCGCCACGAAUGGCUUCCAAAGAUAAGAGAAUCAGGGUGGAAGGUCAACUCCAACGCCUCACUGGAGAAACCAGACCCAGAACUCAGCUCGAUCGCGCCCACGAAAGUUGUAGUGCUGUAGGAUUGAGGCAGGCGCAAGAUGUUUUCCUGCAGGAGACGAGACACAAGCAAGCAGGCAUGCUCGAAUGAUGUCCAUACCCAAGGACACGAGCAGUUAUGCCAUCACCUGGGCGUGCAUAACAAACAAAGCAUGUUCAUACGAUCAUAAAUAUCGCCUGGUACACUCACAGUGCGUAUAGCGCAACGUUGGUAACUAACAUAUCACAUAUUUUGACUGAGCCUAUAAUAAAUAGCAAUCGCAACGCAUGCACGGACGUCCGGGAUUUCGGCAGUGCUCGGGUGUAUGUCCCAAAAAUCCGCGUCCCUUUCUACACUACCUAUUUGAACAUGUCAAAAAUAAUGGCACUAGAAGAAGUUAAACAUAGUUUCACGCAUCCAUAGGCCGUGGAUGUUGUAAGGAAGCAUCAUCGCAUCAUCACAGUGGUUGCCACAACCUUUAGAGUAUCUCCAACAAUUUUUGUAUAUUGGAUUGUUAUAAAAACUUGUUAUAGCAAGAGGGAAGAGAAGGUUUACAAAGCCAACAUGUUUUUUUUUGCAUUGGUAGCCUUUGUAUAUUGGAUUGCUGUCGUAGAGAAUUAGAUUUAGGUUGUGCAACUCUCAAUAUUGAUUGGAUGCACUAGACACGUAUAUAUAAGUACAAGAUGUGCCUCUACCUCAACUAUACAAGGAACUAGGAGGUGGGUCCAAUGACACAAUAUACAUGCACAAAUAUAUAUUCAACACCUCCUCGCAGUCGAAGCGUCACCAGAGACACAGAGACUGAAACGAAACUUCUCAAAGCCAACAUGUUUUUUUGCAUUGGUAGCCUUUGUAUAUUGGAUUGCUGUUUUAGAGGAUUAGGUUUAGGCUGUGCAACUCUCAAUAUUGAUUGGGUGAUAUAAAGAACUAGGAGGUGGGUCCAAUGACACAAUAUACAUGCACAAAUAUAUGUUCAACACCCCCUCGCAGUCGAAGUGUCACCAGAGACACAGAGACUGGAACGAAACUCCUCAAAGGUGAAAGUAGGCAGCCCCUUAGUCAUCACAUCGGCGAACUGUUGUGCGCUCGAAACAUGAAUAACCUAGAUGUGACCAAGGGCGACCUGUUCACGCACAAAGUGGAUAUCAAGCUCGAUGUGCUUCGUCCGACGAUGAUGAACGGGGUUGGCAGAAAGAUACACAACAGAGACGUCGUCACAGUAGACAACUGUAGCCUUAGUUACACCGUGAUGCAACUCCUGUAAAAGCUGUCGAAGCCAGGAACACUCGGCAACUGCGUUAGCCACUACUCGGUACUCGGCCUCCGCGCUGGAGCGCGAAACGGUUGGUUGCUAUUUGGACGACCAUGAGAUAAGUGAAGGACCAAGGUAGACGUAGUAGNNNNNNNNNNNNNNNNNNNNNNNNNNNNNNNNNNNNNNNNNNNNNNNNNNNNNNNNNNUCGUGUAUCAGGACAGCUGACCCAAUCAGCAUCCGAGUAAGCCACCAGAUCCAAAGAGGGAGAAGUCGUGAGUGUGAGUCUGAGGGACCUUGUGCCAUGGAUAUACCGAAGAAUCCGUUUCGCGAGCGCCCAAUGGAGAUCACGAGGAGCGUGCAUAUGGAGGCACACCUGCUGCACAACAUACUGCAAGUCUGGUCUGGUGAGUGUCAGAUACUGAAGAGCACCAACAAUAGAGCGAUAAAAUGGAGCAUCCGACGCCAGUGAACCAUCAUGAGCAGAAACCUUGGCCUUCAUGUCAAUAGGAGUAGCGACAGGAUGACAUUUGAGCAUACCAGCGCGCUCAAGCAGCUCAUGUGCAUACUUUUGUUGAUGAAGAAAGAAGCCGUCAGGUCACCGAACAACCUCAAUACCAAGGAAGUAAUGAAGAGCUCCCAAAUCCUUGAUGGCAAACUUAGUACACAGCCGUAGAGUAAUCUGUUGAAGAAGAGAUGCGAAGGAGGCCGUGAGGAUGAUGCAAUCGACAUAUAGUAGCAAAUAAGCAGUCGUGUCGCUGUGGUGGAGAAGAAACAAUGAGGCGUUCGAGCGAGUAACACAAAAGCCCAGUGUCUGCAGAAAACCGACUAUACGCUGGUACCGUGGAGCUUGCUUAAGGCCAUAGAAAGACCGGGACAACAAGCAUACAUGACUGGGAUGAGUGGCGUCGAUGAAACCAGUGGGUUGCUUACAGUAAACCUGCUCGGCAAGAUGACCAUGGGGGGAGGAGUUGGAAACAUCCAUCUGAUGAACAGGCCAGCCACGAGAGACCGCACUACUAGAAAAAGGCUGUUACUAUUAUCACGUCAUUAGUAAUUUUUUUUCAGAAUUUUUUUCAAUUUUUUUUCAUAUUUUUCCCCCUUUUUUCUUAAUCUAGGAUCACUAUGCUUAAUCUCAAGUCAAAUCGCACUCCGUGGUCAAACUUCCCGGAAGGUCACCCAUCCUCACACUACUCUAGCCCCAACACGCUUAACUUCUCAAUUCUAUCCAACCCUAGCACCAGCUCACUUAACAGACACUUGUUGAUAUAUAUCUAUCAUAUCAAUCCUAUUAAACCUUGUUGAUGUCUAGGACUUUGUUCAUGUUAUGAGUGUGAUAAAUUUUUUAAAAAAUAUUUCAAACUUCCAGGUCAUAUUACGUAUCACAUUUGAACAUUAUUUUUAAAAAAAAAAAUCAAAACCAAUAUUUUUUUCUGUUACUAGUGGCGCACCUAGCAAAUGAUGCGCCAUUACUAAGUUUGAUUUUUUUUUCUAUUCCCCCCCUCUAGAUCUUAAAAGCCUCGUAUCUUUUAUUCUGUUAGGUUUUUGGGGAUUCUAAAAAUCUUCAACGGGGUUCCAUAUUCUGAUAAGCCGAGCAAUCAAGAUAUUUUAGACUCUGCAUGAAAUCACAAUUUCAUCUCUUUAGAACAUCACUUAUGUUCCAUGGCGUUUUACAACGUUUUUCGGUGCCUUGCUUCUAAGCCAUUAAGUAUUUUGCACUGAACUAUCGUGUAGUCAUCAGAAACGUGUAUGUCGGAUGUUCACAGCAUCCACAGACGACGCUCGAGGUGCAGCACACCGAGUGGUGCAUUAAGGACAUAAGCCUUCUGCGUAGCAACGAGGACAAUCCUCGGUUUUACAGACUUAGUCUGCAAAGUUUGCUACUAUUAACUUUUAACUAAAUUUUCUCUAGGAACAUAUAAAAACAGUAGAGCUAUAGCGCAAGCUACAUUGUAAUUCGCAAAGACCAUUAGACUAUGUUCAUGACAAUUAGUUCAAUUAAUCAUAUUACUUAAGAACUCCCACUCGAAAAGUACAUCUCUCUAGUCAUUUAAGUGGUACAUGAUCCAAUUCCACUAUCUCAAGUCCGAUCAUCACGUGAGCCGAGAAUAGUUUCAGUGGUAAGCAUCUCUAUGCUAAUCAUAUCAACUAUACGAUUCAUGCUCGACCUUUCGGUCUCAUGUGUUCCGAGGCCAUGUCUGCACAUGCUAGGCUCGUCAAGCUUAACCCGAGUGUUCCGCGUGUUCAACUGUUUUGCACCCGUUGUAUGUGAACGUUGAGUCUAUCACACCCGAUCAUCACGUGGUGUCUCGAAACGACGAACUGUAGCAACGGUGCACGGUCGGGGAGAACACAAUUUCCUCUUGAAAUUUUAGUGAGAGAUCACCUCAUAAUGCUACCGUCGUUCUAAGCAAAAUAAGGUGCAUAAAAGGAUUAACAUCACAUGCAAUUCAUAAGUGACAUGAUAUGGCCAUCAUCAUGCGCUUCUUGAUCUCCAUCACCAAAGCACCGGCACGAUCUUCUUGUCACCGGCGUCACACCAUGAUCUCCAUCAUCAUGAUCUCCAUCAACGUGUCGCCAUCGGGGUUGUCGUGCUACUCAUGCUAUUACUACUAAAGCUACGUCCUAGCAAUAUAGUAAACGCAUCUGCAAGCACAAACGUUAGUUUAAAGACAACCCUAGAUCCUAGCAAAAUAGUAAACGCACCUGCAAGCACAAACGUUAGUAUAAAGACAACCGUAUGGUUCCUGCCGGUUGCCGUACCAUCGACGUGCAAGUCGAUAUUAUCUAUUACAACAUGAUCAUCUCAUACAUCCAAUAUAUCACAUCACAUCGUUGGCCAUAUCACAUCACAAGCAUACCCUGCAAAAACAAGUUAGACGUCCUCUAAUUGUUGUUGCAUGUUUUACGUGGUGACCAUGGGUAUCUAGUAGGAUCGCAUCUUACUUACGCAAACACCACAACGGAGAUAUAUGAAUUGCUAUUUAACCUCAUCCAAGGACCUCCUCGGUCAAAUUCGAUUCAACUAAAGUUGGAGAAACCGACACUCGCCGGUCAUCUUUGAGCAACGGAGUUACUCGUAGCGAUGAAACCAGUCUCUCGUAAGCGUACGAGUAAUGUCGGUCCGAGCCGCUUCGAUCCAACAAUACCGCGGAAUCAAGAAAAGACUAAGGAGGGCAGCAAAACGCACAUCACCGCCCCCAAAAACUUUUGUGUUCUACUCGAGAAGACAUCUACGCAUGAACCUAGCUCAUGAUGCCACUGUUGGGGAACGUCGCAUGGGAAACAAAUUUUUUCCUACGCGCACGAAGACCUAUCAUGGUGAUGUCCAUCUACGAGAGGGGAUGUGUGAUUUACGUACCCUUGUAGGCCGUACAGCAGAAGCGUUAGUGAACGCGGUUGAUGUAGUGGAACGUCCUCACGUCCCUCGAUCCGCCCCGCGAACUAUCCCGCGAACAGUCCCACGAUCUAGUGCCGAACGGACGGCACCUCCGCGUUCAACACACGUACAGCUCGACGAUGAUCUCAGCCUUCUUGAUCCAGCAAGAGAGACGGAGAGGUAGAAGAGUUCUCCGGCAGCGUGACGGCGCUCCAGAGGUUGGUGAUGAUCUCGUCUCAGCAGGGCUCCGCCCGAGCUCCGCAGAAACACGAUCUAAAGGUAAAACCGUGGAGUUAUGUGGUCGGGCUGCCGUGGCAAAGUUGUCUCAAAUCAGCCCUAAAACCCCACUAUAUAUAGGAGGAGGAGGGGGGAGCCUUGCCUUGGGGUCCAAGGACUCCCAAGGGGUCGGCCGAACCUAAGGGGGAAGGUGUACCCCUCCCAAACCGAAUUCUACUUGGUUUGGAAGGUGGAGUCCUUCUUCCCUUUCCCACCUCCUUCUUUUUUUUCUUUUCUCUUUGAUUUUUCUUCCAAUGCGCNNNNNNNNNNNNNNNNNNNNNNNNNNNNNNNNNNNNNNNNNNNNNNNNNNNNNNNNNNNNNNNNNNNNNNNNNNNNNNNNNNNNNNNNNNNNNNNNNNNNGCGGACAAGGCUGGUUACUUACCGGGUGCGUCCGUGGGCGUUUAAGGGUCAUAUUUACCAUGUCCGGCUGUAGAUGCUCUUAUAUCAUUUUCUUAAAACACGUGGCCCUGUGAGCUCAAAUUGGCUAUGAUCAUUGUAGCUCAUUUUGCAUCUUUGUUUUUUUAGAAAUUUGUAGAUAGCAUGUAAAUUAUGAUCCCGGUCAAAAAAUUAAUGUUCAAAUAUUCAUGCUAUAAAUAUUGUUAAUACAAACGAAAUAACUUAUUCUCAAAACUGUUCAUCUAUUAUUUUAAAAAUAUGUAUACAUUUAAAACUAUUUUAUGAAUUACAAAAUGUAUGCAUAAUUUAAAAUAACAGAAAUAUGUGUAAAGUUAUAAUUCCAAAUAUUAUUUUAAUUAUAUACAAAUAUUUCAAUAAUUAUAUGCGCAUUUGUAUAGUUCAAUUUCCAUAUAAUUACAUAUUCAUAAUUUAAAAUUUAAAUAGUUGAUAUGAAUAUUCAGUCAUGUCAAAUAUAAUACAUAGGUUUAUAUUUUAAAUGUUUUAUUCACUAAUCAUCGUUUUUAUGUAUAAUAUUUUAUUACUUACGUUUUACCAAAUAUUUUUUAUAUAAUACUCAAGCUNNNNNNNNNNNNNNNNNNNNNNNNNNNNNNNNNNNNNNNNNNNNNNNNNNNNNNNNNNNNNNNNNNNNNNNNNNNNNNNNNNNNNNNNNNNNNNNNNNNNUUCUUCUUAUAAUAUUCACUAACAAGUGGGUCUUCCUUAGGCUUUAUUGUGUAACUACAAAAAUUAGGAAGCACCGUAUUUGCACCAAACAACAAAUCAGAUGACCAUAAAUCCAUAUUUUACAAGUUUUAGCACCAAACUAAACAUCCAGGGCUAGUUCUUUGUCCGUCAGUGAUAUUACCUCUAGAAGAACAUGUCUCUUGUGUCCUCGAUAAAGACAUGCCCACAAGAUAAAACAAUGGACGUUUGCCAACGUUUGGCCCAACCAUGAACCAUAUGUGUAUCCUAUGAAAGAUCCACCAAACUAGAAUGUGUGGAUUGAGCAUAAGGAGCUCUUAUGUGCCUCUUUAGGGCAGUUGCACUUUGAGAUUAAUUUAAAUGGGUGUCUUAUUUAGCUCGGUCAUUAAAUUUGGUAUAUUUUUUCAUUCAUAAUUCAUAUUUUCUAUGCAAGUUUUUUAUUAGUAAACUUUUUGUAAUUUUUUUUAUGUUUAUCAAAAAACAUUGUACAUAUUUCAAAAUAAAAUGUUAAUGUGCUGUCUAAGUGUUAUUCCUAUAUGUUAUAAAAAAGCGUACUAUGACUUAGGAAAAAUGUUCAUGAGCUCAAAAUAAAAAUGUGCAUGCUCCAAAAUAAAUUUUCAUGGAUAAUAAAAAAUAUUAUUCAUGUUCAUGAACAAAAUAUGUUUGUAUAUAAAAUCUCAUAUAUAUCAGAAUUUUUUUAUUAUGUGUUUUGAAAAGAACAUGUAUUUAUGAAAAAUAUAAAAACAUUAAAAUUAGUUAGAUGUAUAAGUAAAAAUAUUCAUGAAUUUUCAAAAUGAUUAAGGAAAAAUGUAAAAAAAAGAAAAUGAAAAUGAAAAUUUUAUAUUGAGAGAAAAUAUGGAAAAUAGAACGGAACAGAAAGGGGGACUUAUGACACAAGAUUAAACAGGGGACUUAUUGAAACGUUUGGCCCAACCAUGAACCAUCCUUCUAGCCUAUUAAAGGCCCACAAAACUAGAAUAUGUGGAUUGAGCAUAGGGAGCCAUCAUAUGUGCCGUUUUAGGGCAGUUGCGCUUCGAGACUAAUUUAACUGGGGGGUUUUAUUUAGCUUGGUAAUUAAAUUAGGUAUAAUUUUCAUCGAUAAUCCAUUUUUUAUGUAAAAGUUUGUUAUUAGUUAAAAUGUUAUAAAAAUGUAUUAUGCUUAUCAAACAAAAAUUGUGCGUAUUUCAAAAAUAAAAUGUUAAUGUAUUGUCAAAAUGUUAUUCCUAUAUGUGAUAAAGGUAUACUAUAACUUAGGAAAAAUGUUCACGACCUGAAAUGAUAGUACGCGUGUGUUUUAAAAUAAAUUUUCAUGCAUAAUCAAUAGUAUCGAUGUUCAUGAAUAAAAACAAUUGUAUAUCAAAAUAAAAAAAAGUGUUUUGAAAAGAACAUAUAUUUAUGAAAAGGAUAGAAUUAUGAAAAUUAAAUUAAAUGUAUAAGUAAAAAAUAUUCACGCAUUUGCAAAAAUAGGAAAUUUAAAAAAAUACUAAAAUUUAAAUGGAAAUAAAAUAUUAAAAAGGGAAAAUAGAAGGCAAAAAGGGGGAAAUGCAACAAAUAUUAAAAAAUGUGGAGUUUAAUCUUCGAAUUUUCCAAUAAAUAACCGUGGGGGUGUUUUUUUUGCCCUUUUUAGGUCUAAGAGUCCAAUGUGAGUAAUACCAUGCACGUAUUGCUAAGAAUAUUUUGUGAGAAGAUAUGGUUUGCUUUUCUCGUCAAAGAAGAAAGUAAACUCGCUCACCGGAACCCCCUNNNNNNNNNNNNNNNNNNNNNNNNNNNNNNNNNNNNNNNNNNNNNNNNNNNNNNNNNNNNNNNNNNNNNNNNNNNNNNNNNNNNNNNNNNNNNNNNNNNNUAAAACUGAUGUCAACAAAAGCUGGUGGUUCCUUAGAUGAUCCAUAAUUCCUAGGGCUAAACUUCUAUAUAUCUUCCUCGAGCAAAUUUUAACAUGCUCCCUCUUACUCGUUAUUUUCAUAUGGGAGGUAAGAAGGUAAGAGUUAAUCAGAUCCAUUAAUAAAUGCAAUCAAUGGUUCAGAUCUAUGUUAUACUCUUACCUCUAUGUGAAAAGGGGAGGUAAGAGGAAGCAUGUUAAAAAACCUCCCUCGAGCACAUAGCAAAGAUAAAUAAAUAUCACCUAUCUUUGCAACACCCUUCCCAAUUUUCUUUAACUUCACUGAAAUCAUCACCGUAUAUAACAGAGUAAUUAGGUUUAAGUGUGUUUUUUAGAUAAGAAAUUCACAGAAUCUAUCCUUGUUGAUAGAAAGAAAGCUAAUUUAAGAUGAAAAAGAAGUGCUCGCGGAUGUGAAUAAGACCACCAUGAAGCAUGCCUCCUUUGCAAUCAAUCUAUCGAAUCUGUUGUGCAUAUUUUCUGUCAGUGGCCCUUCUCUGUGGAAACGACCUGAGCUCCAUCAAGAUGCCUUGGUGGAGCAACGUCGCUACUGGGAACCAAAAGAAUGCAACUACCGCUGCCUAUUUUUCCUGGCAUAUUUGGAACAAACGAAACCAAUGUAUUUUUCAGAACUCUAUCUCCAACCAUGACGUUGCUGUAAGAGCACAAUUUAUGCUAAGUAGUUUUGGUGGCUGGGGAAUACGCCGUCGGCUUUGCAACGUCCUUCCCUUUAUAAUACUAUACAACGUAAGAAAGAUUACGUUGNNNNNNNNNNNNNNNNNNNNNNNNNNNNNNNNNNNNNNNNNNNNNNNNNNNNNNNNNNNNNNNNNNNNNNNNNNNNNNNNNNNNNNNNNNNNNNNNNNNNUUAAGAGGACCAGAGGGCAAAAUCCAAUGCAAGGCCCUACGCAUACCUGCCCAUCUAGCGCAUGGAUGUGAUNNNNNNNNNNAAUGGUUGAACAUAUAAAUCUUUUUGAAUACAUUCUUUUGUAACUCUCAAUCAGUACUACAUUGUCGAUUUAUACAUAAGAGGACCAGAGGGCAAAAUACAAUGCAAGGCCCUACGCAUACCUGCCCAUCUAGCGCAUGGAUGUGAUUUGAGCAAUUUUAGGCCAUUAAGCAUCAUCUUCGUGCAGUCCCUACCCAAAAGGAGCAACUAUAUUUUGUUUUCUCGAAUGUGAUAUAGUGAUAUGUAUUCACAUAUUUACAGGUGCAUUGAUGUAUUUGUAUAAUUUUAAUUCAAAAACCACAAAAUUAAUCUAGAAUAAGUUAAUUUUUGUGUUUAUAAUCGUGCAUCCACCUUGGAAAAUACUUUUCCGUUCACGACGGAUGAGUCUUCCAUUGGGAAAGGCAGAGUCUCAUUCUCAAGCCUCACGGGAGGGUGUAGGCACAUUUUUUUCUCCCGUUGCAACGCACGGGCCUUUUUGCCCAUGUGACCAUCUUUAUAGAAGCUACAAAAAAAAUUCUUGAAAUUUGAUACUAUACAAUCAAAUUAGAUAUCAUCNNNNNNNNNNCUUCUCCCGUUGCAACGCACGGGCCUUUUUGCCCAUGUGACAAUCUUUAUAGAAGCUACAAAAAAAUUCUUGAAAUUUGAUACUAUACAAUCAAAUUAGAUAUCAUCGUAAAUUUUAAUCUCUCGCGAGACACAGGGAUUGGAGGUUUCCUCUCGAGAAGAUGGAUGAGAGAGGAUGACGAUGAGAUGUAUUUAUCUACCACUUUAGGACCAUGAGAUAUCAUAUGUGCAUAGCCUAUUCCUCAUGUCACAUUACAUUUUUCUUGAUACACACAUUUUGUUAUCCCGUGGCAAUGCACGAAAGGGAUCGCAUACUUUUAGGAAACCAAGUAAAGAAAGAGCGGAGAGAAAACUGAAGUUAUAUUUGGUGUCGCCAAAUAACAAUAGUUGAGAUUACCUUCAGGAAGAAAUUCCAAAGUAUAUAAAAAAGCAAGGAGUANNNNNNNNNNNNNNNNNNNNNNNNNNNNNNNNNNNNNNNNNNNNNNNNNNNNNNNNNNNNNNNNNNNNNNNNNNNNNNNNNNNNNNNNNNNNNNNNNNNNACUCAUUUCGGGCACUUGAAAAAUAAAAAAAAUGAGUUUUUCAUACAAGGAAGGUGAAAACUUCCUUAAUCAACAUUGUUUGUCAUUCCAACAUGCACCAUUAUGCAAAAUAUGAGACCAUUUCAACAAACUAUGCCAUGAUUAUGGCCAUGAGAUUGAUCAUGUGGCUUGAAAGCCAUGAAUCUUCACACAUGAUAGCUCAUUUGUGUGAACACUUUUUAAAAAUAAUUGUCGUAUUACAAGUUUAUUAUUUUACAUGGUAACUUUAUCACAUAUGAUGACAUAAUGCAAAGGUUUCCCAUUUUUUUGAACUUUUUUGAAUUUUUCAUGUCCGUUUCAAAACGCGGUCGAAACGGCGGGCAUGACCGUUCCUACCUAGUGGUUGAAUCUUGAAAACCUUGUGGUGUUUCUAUGAUUAAGUAGAUACUUGUGUACCUAGAAAUGAUUUUUGGUAAAAAUAAAGAGCAAACUAUAAGGCAGACGGAGUUCAAAUUUGACCCGCUUCCAACUGAUUCGACAUAGAUUUGUCUUUUUCACGAGAGAUGGAUAAAAGCUUUUGACACCCAACCAUUUUGUCAAUUGUACAUUAAAUAUGGCCUAGUNNNNNNNNNNAGUGACAUAAUGCAAAGGUUUCCUAUUUUUUUGAUUUUUUUUAAUUUUUCAUGGCCGUUUCAAAAUGCGGUCGAAACGGCGGGUAUGACCGUUCCUACCUAGUGGUUGAAUCUUGGAAACCUUUUGGUGUUUCUAUGAUUAAGUAGAUACUUGUGUACCUAGAAAUGAUUUUUGGUAAAAAUAAAGAGCAAACUAUAAGGCAGACGGAGUUCAAAUUUGACCCGCUUCCAGCUGAUUCGACAAAGAUUUCUCUUUUUCACGAGAGAUGGAUAAAAGAUUUUGACACCCAACCAUUUUGUCAAUUGUACAUUAAAUAUGGCCUAGUAUGUUAGGAAAAUGAUUUGGACCAAUUUUGAAACAAAUAUAUGGUAGGUCCUUCACAAAAAAACUCAUUUCGGGCACUUGAAAAAUGAAAAAUGAGUUUUUCAUACAAGGAAGAUGAAAACUUCCUUAAUCAACAUUGUUUGUCAUUCCAACAUGCACCAUUAUGCAAAAUAUGAGACCAUUUCAACAAACUAUGCCAUGAAUAUGGCCAUGAGAUUGAUCAUGUGGCUUGAAAGCCAUGAAUCUUCACACAUGAUAGCUCAUUUGUGUGAACACUUUUUAAAAAUAAUUGUCAUAUUACAAGUUUAUUAUUUUACAUGGUCACUUUAUCACAUAUGAUGACAUAAUGCAAAGGUUUCCCAGUUCUGAAAACAACAGCAACAUGCAACAUCUCAAUUCAGUUCUCUGAUGUAGAUAGCAAGAGCUCUCUGAUGUAGUUCAAAAAUAGCUCUGAAAACAACAUCUCAAUUCAGUUCAAAAAUAGCUCUCAAAACAACAUCUCAAUUCAGUUCUGAAAAUAGCUCUGAAAAAAACAUCUCAAUUCAGUUCUGAAAAUAGCUCUGAAAACAACAACAGUAAAAUAGCUCUCUGUGAUAUCAAUGUGAAUGAGUAGGGAUUGCCAUACAAGAGAUGCACUAGAGCUAUAAGUAUGUGAAAGCUCAAGAGGAGAACUAGUGGGUGUGCAUCCAACUUGCUUGCUCACGAAGACCUAGGCCAAUUUUGAGGAAGCCCAUCAUUGGAAUAUACAAGCCAAGUUAUAUAAUGAAAAUUCCCACUAGAAUAUGGUAGUGACAAAGCAAGAAGCUCUCAAUCAUGAAGAACAUGGUGCUAUUAUGAAGCACAAGUGUGGAAAAAGAUAGUAGCAUUGUCCCUUCUCUCUUUUUCUCUCUUUUUUUUAUUUGGGCUCUUAGGCCUCUUUUUUUGCGCUCUUUGGCCUCUCUUUUUUUCCUCACAUGGGACAAUGCUCUAAUAAUGAUGAUCAUCACACUUUUAUUUACUCACAGCUCAAAGCUUAGAACGAUGAUGACUCUAUAGAAAAUGCCUCCGGCAGUGUACCGGGAUGUGCAACGAUCUAGCUUGGCGUAUGACGUUGAAACAUCUCGCUAGCUAUCUUACGAUCAUACAAAGGCAAUAUGAGAGUGACAGCACAAGUCAUGAGACGGAACGGUGGGAGUUGCAUGGCAAUAUAUCUCGGAAUUGCUAUGAAAAUGCCAUAGUAGGUAGGUAUGGUGGCUGUUUUGAGGAGGGCAUAUGAUGGGUUUGUGCACCGGCGAGAAUUGCGCGACACUAGAGAGGCUAGCAAUGGUGGAAGGUGAUAGUGCAUCUAUACCAUUGACUCACAUUAGUCAUGAAGAACUCACAUACUUGUUGCGAAAGUUUUUAUUAGUAAUCAAAAGUGCUAAACGCAUACUCCGAGGGGAAGGGUUGGUAGGUAUGAACCAUCGCGCGAUCCCGACCUCAACACAAAGGAUGACAAUCAAUAGAUCAAUUAUGCUCCGACUUCCUAACAUAGCGGUUCACCAUACGUGCAUGCUACGGGAAUCACUAAGUUCAACACAAGUAUUUCUAGAUUUACGACACCCUACUAACAUAACUCUUAAUAUUACCGAAUCCACGUCUCAAAACUAAUUGAGAGGAAUCAAGACUUCUCUUUCUACUCAAUGCACAUGAAGAUGGAGGUUUUUGUAUCCUCUUUGGGUACCUAUCACAUUUGGGACUACUUUCAUAGCAUAAGCCAACUACCAAGUCACGCACCGCCGUGCUCUAAAAGAUAUAAGUGAAGCACAUAGAGCAAAAGUAUCUAGCUCAAAAGAUAUAACUAAAGCACUAUGAGCAUUCUAGCAAAAAUCACGAUGAGUGAAUGUCUCUUUCUCUCUCUCAAAAAGGUGUGCAGCAAGGAUGAUUGUGACACAACAAAAAGAAAAGACUCCUAUGAUACAAGACGCUCCAAGCAAAACACAUAUCAUGUGGUGAAUAAAAAUAUAGUUCCAAGUAAUGUUACCAAUGGAUUGAAGACGAAAGAGGGGAUGCCUUCCCGGGGCAUCCCCAAGCUUAGGCUUUUUGGUGUCCUUGAAUUUGGCUUGGGAUGCCUUGGGCAUCCCCAAGCUUGAUCUCUUUCCACUCCUUAUCUCUUUGUCCAUGAGAACAUCACCCAAAACUUGAAAACUUCACAACACAAAACUUAAAGAGAAAUUCGUGAUAACAUUAGCACAAGAAAACAAACUACCACCACUUUAGGUACUAUAGCAAUAUUGAUUUAUAUUUAUAUUGGUGUUGGGCUACUGUAUUCUCACUUUUCCAUGGCUAGUACCCCCCCCCCCCCNNNNNNNNNNNNNNNNNNNNNNNNNNNNNNNNNNNNNNNNNNNNNNNNNNNNNNNNNNNNNNNNNNNNNNNNNNNNNNNNNNNNNNNNNNNNNNNNNNNNNNNNNNNNNNNNAUCAAAAUAAGCAACCAACUCAACAAAAACAGAAUGUGUCCAAAACAGACCAGUCUGUAGCAAUCUGUAUACUUCGUAUACUUCUGGUACCUCCAAAAUUCUGAACAAUUACGACUGCCUGGGCAAAAGGCAUAUCAACCAGCAGCAAAAAUAAUCAACUCAAAAUCUCUUUAUUAAUAAAAAUGAAAAAUCAUCUCGUGAGCGAAAAGUUUCUGUCUUUUUCCAGCAGGAUCAAACAACCAUUACCAAGACUAGUCAUAAAGGUUUUGCUUGGCUCAAACACAAAAAGAAACACAAAAUACACAAUCAUAAAUGAAUUAUGAUGGUGUGUACGUAACAAAACAGAAAGAAAAAGAAAUAAAUUCAUUGGGUUGCCUCCCAACAAGCGCUACUGUUUAACGCUCUUAGCAAGGCAUUGAUAAUUCGAUGAUGCUCACACAAAAGACAAGAAUUGAAGCACAACGAGAGCAUCAUAAAGCAUAUGAAAAUCACAUCUAAGUCUAACAUACUUCCUAUGCAUAGGCAUUUUAUAGGAAAACAAAUUAGCAAGACAAUCAAUAGUUACCAAAUGCAAGGAAGAAGAAAGAGACAAUAGCAAUCUCAACAUAACGAGAGGUGAUUUAGUGAUAUGAAAGUUUCUACCAUAAUAUUUUCCUCUAUCAUAACAAUUUCAUGUGGGAUAAUAUUCAAAUUCAACAAUAUAACUAUCACAUAGGAUAUUCUUUUCAUGAUCCACAUGCAUGCAAAGUUGACGCUCUUCAAAAAUAGUGGGAUUAUCAUCAACUAAAGUCAUGACUUCUCCNNNNNNNNNNNNNNNNNNNNNNNNNNNNNNNNNNNNNNNNNNNNNNNNNNNNNNNNNNNNNNNNNNNNNNNNNNNNNNNNNNNNNNNNNNNNNNNNNNNNCGAUUGCUUCCACCUCAUAUUAGCCAAAACUCCCGCACCAAGUAGAGAUACUACUUGUGCAUCCAUAAACCUCCAACCCAGUUUUGCCAUGAGAGUCCACCAUACCUACCUAUGGAUUGAAUAAGACCCUUCAAGUAAGUUGUCAUCGGUGCAAGCAAUAAAAAUUGCUCUCUAAUAUGUAUGGUCUAUUAGUGUGUGGAAAAUAAGCUUUGUACGAACCUGUGAUGAGGAAGACAUAAAAUCGACGCACUGCAUAAUAAAGUUCUUUGUCACAGGAUGCAAUAUAAAGUGACAUUCCUCUGCACUAAUAGGACACGCAUUCAAACCUCAAAAGUGCAUGACAACCUCUGCUUCCCUCUACGAAGGGUCUAUCUUGUACCUUUACUUUUUACCCUUGUAAGAGUCAUGGUGAUCAUCACCAAUUCCCUUUUUGCCUUUCUCUUGGCUACCGUCACAUGUUUGGGAAAGAUCUAUAUUCAUAUAUCAACUUGGAGUUGAGUACUUAUGCUUUAUUGUUGUUGACUUUACCCUUGAGGUAAACCGUUGGGAGGCAAAACCAUAAGCCCCUAUCUUCCUCUGUGUCCAGCUAAAACUUUGACACCAUGAGUACCACGUGAGUUGUAACAAUUGUGGAAAACGAAAGAGAUGAUUGAGUAUGUGGGUUUGCCUUACAAGCUCUUAUUUGACUCUUUCUGAUGUUGUGAUAAAUUGCAAUUGCUUCAAUGACUAUGGAUUAUUGUUGGUUACUUCUCGGUAAGGUUUUUGCUUCAUGCUUUGCUUUUUGAAGGAAUUGUUACUUUCCCAUAAGAAUCUUUAUGAUGUAUUGCUGUCCUAUGUGUGAUCAUGAUGCCCUCAUGUCCGUAUUAUGUUUUAUCGACACCUUCGUCCCUCAACAUGUGGACAUGUUGUUGGAACUUGGUUUUCGCUUGAGGACAAGCGAGGUCUAAGCUUGGGGGAGUUGAUACGUCCAUUUUGCAUCAUGCUUUCAUGUUGAUAUUUAUUACUUUUUGGGUAGUUAUAUUACUUGUGGUACCAUAUUUAUGCCUUUUCUCUCUUAUUUUGCAAGGAUUAUUUGAAGAGGGAGAAUUCAGGCAGCUGGAAUUCUGGACUGGAAAAGGAGCAAAUCCUAGUCCAUUAUUCUGCGCAUCUCCAAAUGCCCUGAAAAUUUACGUGGAUUUUUUCUGGAAUAUAUUAAAAAUACUGGGCGAAAGAACUAGCGGAGGGGGGCCACCAGGGCCCCACAAGCCCCCACUCCGCCACCACCCNNNNNNNNNNUCGUGGCGGUGGGCAAGCUUGUGGGCUGCCUGAAGGCCCACUAGCCCCCCUCUUUUUCUAUAUGAAGUGUCCUGGUCUGGAAAAAAAUCAAAAGGGAGCUUUUUCGUGGUUUCGCCGCCGCCACGAGGCGGAACUUGAGCAGAUCCAAUCUAGGGCUCCGGCAAGACGAUCCUGCCGGGGUAAUUUCCCUCCCGGAGGGGGGAAUCGUCGCCAUCGUCAUCACCAACACUCCUCUCGUCAGAGGGGAGGCAUCUUCAUCAACAUCUUCAUCAGCACCAUCUCCUCUCCAAUCUCUAGUUCAUCUCUUAUAACCAAUCUUCGUCUCACAACUCCGAUUGGUACUUGUAAGGUUGCUAGUAGUGUUGAUUACUCUUUGUAGUUGAUGCUAGUUGGAUUAUUUGGUGGAAGAGUUUAUGUUCAGAUCCUUGAUGCUAUUCAUUACACCUCUGGUCAUGAUUAUGACUAUGUCUUGUGAGUAGUUACUUUUGUUCCUGAGGACAUGGAUAAGUCAUGUUAAUAAUAGUCAUGUGAAUUUGAUAUUCGUUCGGUAUUUUGAUAUGUUGUAUGUUGUUUUUCCUCUAGUGGUGUUAUGUGAACGUCGACUACAUANNNNNNNNNNUUAUAUCUUGUGAGUAGUUACUUUUGUUCCUGAGGACAUGGGAUAAGUCAUGUUAAUAAUAGUCAUGUGAAUUUGAUAUUUGUUCGGUAUUUUGAUAUGAUGUAUGUUGUUUUUCCUCUAGUGGUGUUAUGUGAACGUCGACUACAUAACACUUCACCAUAUUUGGGCCUAGAGGAAGGCAUUGGGAAGUAGUAAGUAGAUGAUGGGUUGCUGGAGUGACAGAAGCUUAAACCCCAGUUUAUGUGCUGCUUCGUGAGGGGCUGAUUUGGAUCCACUAGUUUAAUGCUAUGGUUAGACUUUGUCUUAAUUCUUCUUUUGUAUUUGCGGAUGCUUGCGAGAGAGGUUAAUCAUAAGUGGGAUGCUUGUCCAAGUAAGGGCAGUACCCAAGCGCCGGUCCACCCACAUAUCAAACUAUCAAAGUAAUGAACGCGAAUCAUAUGAACAUGAUGAAACUAGCAUGACAGAAAUUCCCGUGUGUCCUCGGGAGCAUUUUUUCUCCUAUAAGACUUUGUUCAGGCUUGUCCCUUGCUACAAAAGGGAUUGGGCCACUUGCUGCACCGUUGCUACUACUUGUUACUUGUUACUCUUUGCUUGCUAUGUUUCACCUCGCUACACAAUCACUUGUUACCGCUACUUUCAGUGCUUGUAGUUAUAACCUUGCUGAAAUCCGUUUAUCAGAGCCUUCUGCUCCUCGUUGGGUUCGACACUCUUACUUAUCAAAAGGACUACGAUUGAUCCCCUAUACUUGUGGGUCAUCAAGACUCUUUUCUGGCGCCGUUGCCGGGGAGUGAAGCGCCUUUGGUAAGUGGAAAUUGGUAAGAAAACAUUUAUAUACUGUGCUGAAAUUUAUUGUCACUUGUCACUAUGGAAACUCUUCCUUUGAGAAGUUUGUUCGGGGUAUCUCCACCACGAACGGAAGCACGAGGAGUUUCUCCUCAACCUGAGGUACCUACUGAAAAUAUCUUUUAUGAAAUUCCUUUGGGUAUGCUUGAGAAACUGCUGGCUAAUCCUUUCACACGAGAUGGAUCUUCACAUCCAGACUUUCAUCUGAUCUAUGUNNNNNNNNNNNNNNNNNNNNNNNNNNNNNNNNNNNNNNNNNNNNNNNNNNNNNNNNNNNNNNNNNNNNNNNNNNNNNNNNNNNNNNNNNNNNNNNNNNNNAUCUUAUUUGAGNNNNNNNNNNGAUGUAAUCUUCUUUUCCGGUGUGUUUGUCUAGAUUCGAUGAAUUGUGGAUUUAUGAUCAGAUUAUCUAUGAAUCUUAUUUGAGUUUCUUCUGAUCUCUCUUAUGCAUGAUUUCAUAUCCUUGUAAUUCUCUUCGAGUUGUGGGUUUUGUCUGGCCAACUAGAUCUAUGAUUCUCGCAAUGGGAGAAGUGCUUGGUUUUGGGUUCAUACCGUGCAGUGACUUCACCCAGUGACAGAAGGGGUAGCAAGGCACGCAUCGUGUUGUUGCUAUCAAGGGUAAAAAGAUGGGGUUUUCAUCAUUGGUUUGAGAUUAUCCCUCUACAUCAUGUCACCUUGCUUAAGGCGUUACUCUGUUCGUCGUGAACUCAAUACACUAGAUGCAUGCUGGAUAGCGGUCGAUGUGUGGANNNNNNNNNNACACCCAGUGACAGAAGGGGUAGCGAGGCACGCAUCGUGUUGUUGCCAUCAAGGGUAAAAAUAUGGGGUUUUCAUCAUUGUUUUGAGAUUACCCCUCUACAUCAUGUCAUCUUGCUUAAGGCAUUACUCUGUUCGUCAUGAACUCAAUACACUAGAUGCAUACUGGAUAGCGGUCGAUGUGUGGAGUAAUAGUAGUAGAUGCAGAAAGUAUCGGUCUACUUGUCUCGGAAGUGAUGCCUAUAUGUAUGAUCAUUGCCUUAGAUAUCGUCAUGACUUUGCGCGGUUCUAUCAAUUGCUCAACAGUAAUUUGUUCACCCACCAUAAUACUUGCUAUUUUGAGAGAAGCCUCUAGUGAACACUAUGGCCCCCAGGGUCUACUCCACACCGUAUUUUCAUCCUUACACUUUUUACUUCAUUGCACUUUCCUCCUUCAGAUCUCACUUUGCAAACAAUCUUGAAGGGAUUGACAACCCCUUUAUANNNNNNNNNNGUUGGGUGCAAGCUCUUUUGUGUUUGCGCAGGUACUCUGGACUUGACGAGAUUCUCCUACUGGAUUGAUACCUUGGUUCUCAAAUUGAGGGAAAUACUUACUGCUCUGUGCUGCAUCACCCUUUCCUCCUCAAGGGAAGAACCAACGCAAGCCCAAGAGACGACAGAAGGAUCUCUGGCACCACUGCCGGGGAAGAACUUUUGUUGCCGUAGCAGUGGCCGCCUGGGCAGGUCCUGGCCCCCUCUGGCCCACCUUUGGUGCUCAUGAAGCUUCCGUCAUGCUGAUUUUUAUAUAUUUUCUCGGGAUUUUUGGCGUUGUGUAAAUUGGGGUAAAAGUCCCUGCAGAAAAGACAUCAGCAGACAGAAACUGGCACUGGGUGCAUUGAGUUAGUCAGUUAGUCCAAAUAUGUGUAAAAAUGUAUGAAAGUGUAGCAAAACAUAUAACAAUGUCACCCAAAAGAUCAUGGAAUAAACAUAAAUUAUAGAUACGUUUGGGACGUAUCAAUUCCUGCCAGAGGAGAUCGAAGAGCGUGGAGAGGCCAUAGCAGCGUCUGGGGAUGACGGGGUGUGGUGGCAGAAGUGGUGUAGUGGCGAGGCGGCGACACGAGGUGGUGGCGGCGACAACGGCGGGUGUGGCGGCAGGGAGAGGCGGCGGCGACGGCACGGAGGAAGGGCGCGACGGCGGCGGCGGCGUUGGUGGCGGCGACGCAAGAGAGGGCGCGGCGACGACGGCGGUGGCGGCGGCCGCGGCUGCGCAUGAGAUGCCGGCGGUGGCGACGAUGGCUAGGUCAGGAUCGUGGAGGAAACUGAUACCAUGUAGAGGAUUAGGUUUAGGCUGUGCAACUCUUAAUAUUGAUUGGAUGCACUAUGCAUGUAUAUAUAGGUACAAGAUGGGCCUCUGCCUCAACUAUACAAGGAACUAGAAGGUGUGCCCAAUGACACAAUAUACAUGCACAAAUAUAUAUUCAACAACUAUAUUUGCACAAAACACACAAUGACGUGUGGGGACAGUUUGUCAUAGACACAUUGCGCACUAGCAUACGUACAUGUAUAUAUAUAGUAGCAAAACUCGUAUUCACGUACACAUGCACACACGUGUGUACUUACACACAUGCAGCACACACACACACGUACACAUGCAGCACACACGUACACAUGCAACACACACGCGUACACGUAACAAAAAAACACGUACACGUACACACACAACACACGCGCAACACACACACUAGUACACGGACCCACCUGUCAUUGAGAUAAAGUGAGGCUUGUUAAAAAUUUAUAAAGUGGCCUUUGGCUUGGCAAAUAUGUAAAGUGUUGGUGCAAAUAUAGCAAGCUUUGUAAAAAAUAUUGAUGAAACCAUUUAUACAAAGGCUGUUGAAAAAGAUUUUUUGAAAAAGAUUUAUAAAAUAACAAGUGAACGUAAAUAUACAAAGGCUGUUGGAGAUACUUUGAACCAGGAAGCCAGCGUUCUGCUCUUUCUUUCCUGUACUAAGUGUCUCGUUGGUUGAAGCAACAUCUUCCCCAAUGCCUCACAAUCCAAUUACCAUUAUUCACCUCACAUGGGUGACAAAUCUUGAAUCCAUACACCACACGAGAAGAACAAAAGAGAAUGUAGAUCAUACCGGUGCCCAUCCUGUAUUUUAUUAUUAUAAAGUGGUGGAUAUGGACCAUAGUAUUUGUUGUAUACUUCUUUGCAUUGCAAGAAAUGAUGUAUCUUGAAGGACAUAUAUAGAGAGAGAGGGGUGUAAUGACCAUGUAUAGUUCUAGCUAUAAAUUAUGCAGCCGGGCCUGUAGAUAUCUCAACCACCUGCAUCCAUGAUACAAUUGAUUCUUUUGUGAGCAUUGGGAUUGCCCCACGAAAAGAAAAACAAAAAAACUGAGAGGCAACAAAAACUGAUGGUACGCGUCCUUAGAACUGCACGACAAGUGUAGUUAGCCAUCUCAAAACUGAUGUCAACAAAAGCUGGUGGUUCCUUAGAUGAUCCACAAUUCCAGGGGCUAAACUUCUAUAUAUAUCUCUCGAGCAAAUUUUAACAUGUUUCUUGUUACUCCCUAUUUUCAUACGGAAGGUAAGAAGGUAAGAGUUAAUCGGACUCACCAAUUAAUGCAAUCAAUGGUUCAGAUUUAUUUUACACUCUUACCUCUAUGUGAAAAGGGGAGGUAAGAGGGAGCAUGUUAAAAAACCUCAUCUUCCACAUAGCAAAAAUAAAUAAAUACCACCUAUCUUUACAACACCCUUCCCAAUUUUCUUUAACUUCACUGAAAUCAUCACCGUAUAUAAUAGAGCAAUUAGGUUUAAGUGUGUUUUUUGACAGUGGAUUUUUAACAUCUGGGUGCCUAGGCACGCUCUACGAACACUAACAUCAAAAUAAAUAGAAAAAAUAAUAAUUCUGAAACUUUGCAAGAUCAAAGACGAUCAAACUUUGUAGGUGCUUGUAAGUUUUCAUGCCAAAAAACAUUUGAGGAGGUCUACACAUGAAAAACAUUUCAGUACUUCAAAAUUUGAGCACUUUUAGCACCGAAAUCUAAAACUUGUUUGUACACCUUUCAUUACAUGAUAUUUUGGCAUGAAACUUGUUUCUCCCGAAGCAGUGUCCACCACCAACACCGUCGAGGAUCCACAUAGUGCCCACCACCACUUAGCCCUCAAGGCAACGCCUUCAGGAAGGUCACGCCGUCAAGGACGUCGCCGCCGCCCACCGGAGUUAUGGUUUUCACCCGAGGGCGGGUCGGGGGGAAGUAGAGGGGCAGACAUAGACUGGCGUCUCCAAGAAGAAAAUCGGCACCCUUGAGCGUCGUCGUCGGUGCGACCAGACGUGGCCGACCAAGAGUUUCCCCCAAUCUGUAUCUCCUUACCAGCUUCACCCGCAACCACAUGCCAAGGUCCCGGCAAGCCUGUCCGCUAGGAACCUUCACCCCCGCGCCCUGUGACCGAGUCCAAUCGUCGUGUCCCGACCACACCGACAACCAGCAUCACCACCAUGAGCUGCCCCACCGCGAAGACAAACAGGAGCAGGGAGCGAGCGAAGGACGCCCCAGCCCGGGCCAGCCACAUCCGCCGGGGGGCAGCCUCGCGCCAUCCGUGUCGCCGACGACCAGAUCGGGGUUGCGGACACCACGUGCACACCCCAAGCAGCCAUCCACGUAGUCACUAGGGCGCCACAACAGCCGUGGAGAACGCACGGGAGCCCGCCGUCGCCACCUGAGCCUGCCCCUCGCGCUCCGCCAUCAGCUCGCCGCCAGCCUCCGAGAGGACCGCCAGUGCCAUUCCCAUCAGCAGAGGGGAGAGGAAGUCCCGCCGCAGCCGACACCAGCUGUGCUUUGCUNNNNNNNNNNNNNNNNNNNNNNNNNNNNNNNNNNNNNNNNNNNNNNNNNNNNNNNNNNNNNNNNNNNNNNNNNNNNNNNNNNNNNNNNNNNNNNNNNNNNAUCUGAAACUUUGCAACAUUUUAGAUGGUCAAACUUUGUAGGUUCUUACAAGUUUUCAUGCCAAAAUAUCAUGUAGAGAAAGGUGUACAAACAAGUUUCAGAUUUCAAUGCUAAAAUAGCUCAAAAUUUGAAAAACUAAAAGUUUUUCCUGUGUAGAGGUCCUCAAAUGUUUUUUUGGCACGAAAACUUACAAGCACCUAGAAAGUUUGAUCAUCUUUGAUCUUGCAAAAUUUCAGAUUUUUUUAAUUUUUUUUCUAUUUGUUUUGAUGUUACUAUUCAUAAAGGAUGCCUAGACACCCGGGUGCUGAAAAUUCACUCUCAAAUUUUAGUACUCUNNNNNNNNNNNNNNNNNNNNNNNNNNNNNNNNNNNNNNNNNNNNNNNNNNNNNNNNNNNUCCGUCCAAAAAAAAAAAAUGUAUCAACUUUGUACGAACAUUAAUAUAAAGUUAUACUAUGGUUGACACAUUCAUUAUGGGACGGAAGGAGUAUAAGUUUUGGGAUGGCCUACCUUGCUUGUCACACAAUUCAAAUGAAGCAUCCUCACAUUGUGUUGCAUCAUGUUUGUGUUUGUGUGUCUGUGUGGGCAUCCUAAAGCUUAUAAACGAACCUGCUUCAUUCGUCCUGGGUAUGGUGGUCGAGAAAUGUAUAAGCCAUGACAUUCAAUUUUGUACCUGCAGGCUAUAUUAUUCAGCUAGACCUUCACACGAGAGUUACAUGCCCAUAUCUCACUCUCUCAUNNNNNNNNNNNNNNNNNNNNNNNNNNNNNNNNNNNNNNNNNNNNNNNNNNNNNNNNNNNNNNNNNNNNNNNNNNNNNNNNNNNNNNNNNNNNNNNNNNNNUACGAGUAACCCCGUUGCUCAAAGAUGACUGGCAAGUGUCGGUUUCUCCAACUUUAGUUGAAUCGGAUUUGACCGAGGAGGUCCUUGGAUGAGGUUAAAUAGCAACUCAUAUAUCUCCGUUGUGGUGUUUGCGUAAGUAAGACGCGAUCCUACUAGAUACCCAUGGUCACCACGUAAAACAUGCAACAACAAAAUUAGAGGACGUCUAACUUGUUUUUGCAGGGUAUGCUUGUGAUGUGAUAUGGCCAACGAUGUGAUGUGAUAUAUUGGAUGUAUGAGAUGAUCAUGUUCUAAUAGAUAAUAUCGACUUGCACGUCGAUGGUACGGCAACCGGCAGGAACCAUACGGUUGUCUUUAUACUAACGUUUGUGCUUGCAGAUGCGUUUACUAUUUUGCUAGGAUCUAGCUUUAGUAGUAAUAGCAUGAGUAGCACGACAACCCCGAUGAUGACACGUUGAUGGAGAUCAUGAUGAUGGAGAUCAUGGUGUGACGCCGGUGACAAGAAGAUCGUGCCGGUGCUUUGGUGAUGGAGAUCAAGAAGCGCAUGAUGAUGGCCAUAUCAUGUCACUUAUGAAUUGCAUGUGAUGUUAAUCCUUUUAUGCACCUUAUUUUGCUUAGAAUGACGGUAGCAUUAUGAGGUGAUCUCUCACUAAAAUUUCAAGACGAAAUUGUGUUCUCCCCGACCGUGCACCGUUGCUACAGUUCGUCAUUUCGAGACACCACGUGAUGAUCGGGUGUGAUAGACUCAACGUUCACAUACAACGGGUGCAAAACAGUUGAACACGCGGAACACUCGGGUUAAGCUUGACGAGCCUAGCAUGUGCAGACAUGGCCUCGGAACACAUGAGACUGAAAGGUCGAGCAUGAAUCGUAUAGUUGAUAUGAUUAGCAUAGAGAUGCUUACCACUGAAACUAUUCUCGACUCACGUGAUGAUCGGACUUGAGAUAGUGGAUUUGGAUCAUGUACCACUCAAAUGACUAGAGAGAUGUACUUUUUGAGUGGGAGUUCUUAAGUAAUAUGAUUAAUUGAACUAAUUGUCAUGAACAUAGUCUAAUGGUCUUUGCGAAUUACGAUGUAGCUUGCGCUAUAGCUCUACUGUUUUAUAUGUUCCUAGAGAAAAUUUAGUUGAAAGUUGAUAGUAGCAAACUUUGCAGACUGAGUCUGUAAAACCGAGGAUUGUCCUCGUUGUUGCACAGAAGGCUUAUGUCCUUAAUGCACCACUCGGUGUGCUGCACCUCGAGCGUCGUCUGUGGAUGCUGUGAACAUCCGACAUACACGUUUCUGAUGACUACACGAUAGUUCAGUACAAAAAUACUUAAUGGCUUAGAAGCAAGGCGCCGAAAACGUUGUAAAACGUCACGGAACAUAAGUGAUGUUCUAAAGAGAUGAAAUUGUGAUUUCAUGCUUGUGCCCUUGUUAAGAGGUACGAGACCUCCGACAAGAUUCUUUGUCCACAAAGCACAGGAGAAAAGGCUCAAUCGUUGAGCAUGUGCUCAGAUUAUCUGAGUACGACAAUCGCUUGAAUCAAGUGGGAGUUAAUCUUCCAGAUGAGAUAGUGAUAGUUCUCCAAAGUCACUGCCACCAAGCUGUGAGAGCUUCGUGAUGAACUAUAACAUAUCAAGGAUACAUACAAUGAUCCUUGAGCGAUUCGCGAUGUUUGACACUGCGAAAGUAGAAAUCAAGAAGGAGCAUCAAUAGUUGAUGGUUUGUAAAACCACUAAGUUUCAAGAAAGGCAAGGGCUAGAAGGGAUACUUCGUGAAACGGCAAAACAGUUGCUGCACUAAUGAAGAGACCCAAGAUUAAACCCAAACCCAAGACUAAGUGCUUCUAUAAUGAGGGGAACAAUCACUGAGGCAGAGCAACUCAAGAUACUUGGUAGAUAAGAAGGCUGGCAAAAGUCGAAAGAAGUGUAUUUGAUAUACAUGAUGUUGAUGUGUACUUUACUAGUACUCCUAGUAGCACGAGGGUAUUGGAUACCGGUUCGGUUGCUAAGUGAUUAGUGACGCGAAAUGAAAGCUACGGCAUAAACGGAGACUAGCUAAAGGUGAGGUGACGAUACGUGUUGGAAGUGUUUCCAAGAUUGAUAUGAUCAAACGUCGCACGCUCCCUCUACCAUCGGGAUUGGUGUUAAACCUAAAUAUUUGUUAUUUGGUGCUUGCGUUAAGCAUGAACAUGAUUGGAUCGUAUUUAUUGCAAUACGAUUAUUCAUUUAAAGAGAAUAAUGGUUACUCUAUUUUCUUGAAUAAUCACCUUCAAUGGUUUAUUGAAUCUCGAUCGUAGUGUUACACAUGUUCAUGAUAUUGGUGCCAAAAGAUACGAGUUGAUGAUGAUAGUACCACUUACUUGUGGCACUGACGCUUGAGUCAUGUUAGUAUAAAUUGCAUGAAGAGGCUCCAUGUGCUGGGGAACGUCGCAUGGGAAACAAAAAAUUUCCUACGCGCACGAAGACCUAUCAUGGUGAUGUCCAUCUAUGAGAGGGGAUGAGUGAUCUACGUACCCUUGUAGAUCGUACAGCAGAAGCGAUUAGAGAUCGCGGUUGAUGUAGUGGAACGUCCUCACGUCCCUCGAUCCGCCCCGCGAACAAUCCCGCGAUCAGUCCCACGAUCUAGUACUGAACGGACGGCACCUCCGCGUUCAGCACACGUACAGCUCGACGAUGAUCUCGGCCUUCUUGAUCCAGCAAGAGAGACGGAGAGGUAGAAGAGUUCUCCGGCAGCGUGACGGCGCUCUGGAGGUUGGUGAUGAUCUUAUCUCAGCAGGGCUCCGCCUGAGCUCCGCAGAAACACGAUCUAGAGGAAAAACUAUGGAGGUAUGUGGUCGGGCAGCCGUGAGAAAGUCGUCUCAAAUCUGCCCUAAAAGCCCCAUAUAUAUAGGAGGAGGGCAGCCGUGAGAAACUAGAUGAAAUAAGAUAGUAACUUGUUGGAAGUGAUACAUUUUGAUGUAUGCAGUCCAAUGGGUGCUGAGGCACGCAGUGGAUAUCAUUAUGUUCUUACUUCACUGACGAUUUGAGUAGAUACAGGAGUAUUUACUUAAUGAAUCACAAGUCUAAAAUGUUGAAAAGUUCAAUUCCGUUUCAGAGUGAAGUUCGUCGUAACAAGAGGAUAAACUGUCUACGAUAUGAUCAUGGAAAUGAAUAUCUGAGUUACGAGUUUUGGUACACAGUUAAGACGAUGUGGAAAUUGUUUUGCAGUUCAUGCCACCUGGAACAUCAUAGUGUGAUGAUGUGUCUGAACGUCAUAGCCACGCACUAUUUGGUAUGGUGCAUACUAUGAUGUCUCUUAUCGAAUUACCACUAUCGUUUAUGGGUUAUGCAUUAGAGACAACCGCACUCACUUUAAAUAGGGCACCGCGUAUUUCCGUUGAGAUGACACAGUAUAGACUGAGGUUUAGAGAAAUCUAAACUGUCGUUUCUUGAAAGUUUGGGGUUUCGACACUUAUGUGAAAAAGUUUCAGUCUGAUAAGCUCGAACCCAAAGCGGAUAAAUGCAUCUUCAUAGGAUAUCCAAAACAGUUGGGUACAUCUCCUAUCUCAGAUCCGAAAGCAAAGUGUUUGUUUUAGAAACGGAUCCUUUCUCGAGGAAAGGUUUCUCUCGAAAGAAUUGAGUGGUAGGGUAGUAGAACUUGAUGAGGUUAUUAAACCAUCACUUCAACCAGUGUGUAGCAGGGUGCAGGAAGUUGUUCAUGUGGCGCCUACACCAAUUGAAGUGGAAGCUGAUGAUGAUGAUCAUUGAGCUUCGAAUCAAGUUACUACAAAUCUCGUAGGUCGACAAGGUCGCGUACUGUUGCAGAGUAGUACGGUAACCCUGUCUUGGAGGUCAUGUUGUUGAGCAACAGUGAACCUACGAGUUAUGGAGAAAGCGAUGGUGGGCCCAGAUUCCGACAAAUGGCUGGAAGCCAUGAAAUCCGAGAGAGGAUCCAUGUGUGAAAACAAAGUGUAGACUUUGGUAGAACUACUUGAUGGUCAUAGGACUAUUGAGUAAAAAUGGAUCUUUAAAAGAAGACAGACGAUGAUGGUGAUAAGUCACUAUUAAGAAACGCUCGACUUGUCGCAAAGAUGUUUUCGAUAAGAUCAAACAGUUGACUAUGAUGAGACUUUCUCACUCGUAGCGAUGCUAAAAGUCUGUUAGAAUUAUGUUAGUUGUUGAUGCAUUAUUUAUGAAAUAUUGCACGUAGGAUGUCAAAACAUUGUUUUCUCGACGGUUUCCUUGAGCAAACAUUGUAUGUGAUACAACCAGAAGGUUUUGUCGAUCCUAAAGAUACUAGCAAGUAUGCAAGCUCCAGUAAUCCUUCAAUGGACUGGUGCAAGCAUCUCGGAGUUGGAAUAUACACUUUGAUGAGAUGAUCAAAGAUUUUGGGUUUGUACAAGGUUUAUGAGAAACUUGUAUUUCCAAAGAAGUGAGUGGGAGCACUAUAGAAUUUCUGAUAGGUAUAUGUGGUUGACAUAUUGUGGAUCAGAAGUAAUGUAGAAUUUCUGUAAAGCAUACAAGGUUGUUUGAAAGAAGUUUUCAAAGGAGUACCUGGAUUACGCUACUUUAACGUUGAGCAUCAAAGAUCUAUGGAGAUAGAUCGAAAGCGCUUAAUAGAAGUUUCAACAAGAUGCAUGCCUUGACAAGUUUUUGAAAGAGUUCAAAAUAGACCAGCAAAGAAGGAGUUCUUGGUUGCGUUGUGAGGUGUGAAUUUGAGUAAGACUCAAAACCCGACCAUGGCAGAAUAAAGAGAAUAGACGAAGGUCGUCUUCUAUGCCUUAGCCGUAGAAUCUAAAGUAUGCCAUGUUGUGUACCGCACCUGAAGUGUGCCUUGACUCAAAGUAUGUUGAGAGGUAUAGAGAGUGAUCCAUGAUUGAAUCACUAGCAGCGGUCGAAAUUUAUCCUUAGUAACUAAUGGACUAAGGAAUUUUCUCGAUUAUGGAGGUGGUUAAAGAGUUUGUCGUAAAGGGUUACGUCAAUGCAAGCUUUGACACUAAUCCGGAUAACUAUGAGUAGUGAAACGGAUUCGUAUAGUAGAGUAGAUAUUUGGAGCAUUUCCGAAUAGCACGUAGUAGCAGCAUCUAUAAGAUGACAUCAAGAUUUCUAAAAAACGCACGAAUCUGAAAGUUUCAGAACCGUUGACUAAAACCUCUCUCACGAGCAGGACGUGAUCAGACCCCAUAACUAUAUGGGUGUUGGAUUCGUUGGAAUCACAUGGUGAUGUGAACUGAAUUAUUGACUCUAGUGCAAGUGGGAGACUGUUGGAAAUAUGCCCUAGAGGCAAUAAUAAAUUAGUUAUUAUUAUANNNNNNNNNNNNNNNNNNNNNNNNNNNNNNNNNNNNNNNNNNNNNNNNNNNNNNNNNNNNNNNNNNNNNNNNNNNNNNNNNNNNNNNNNNNNNNNNNNNNAUGUAGUCGACGUUCACAUAACACCACUAGAGGAAAAACAACAUACAACAUAUCAAAAUACCGAACGAAUAUCAAAUUCACAUGACUAUUAUUAACAUGACUUAUCCAUGUCCUCAGGAACAAAAGUAACUACUCACAAGACAUAGUCAUAAUCAUGACCAGAGGUGUAAUGAAUAGCAUCAAGGAUCUGAACAUAAACUCUUCCACCAAAUAAUCCAACUAGCAUCAACUACAAAGAGUAAUCAACACUACUAGCAACCUUACAAGUACCAAUCGGAGUUGUGAGACGAAGAUUGGUUACAAGAGAUGAACUAGGGAUUGGAGAGGAGAUGGUGCUGAUGAAGAUGUUGAUGAAGAUGCCUCCCCUCUGACGAGAGGAGUGUUGGUGAUGACGAUGGCGACGAUUCCCCCCUCCGGGCGACGAGAGGAGUGUUGGUGAUGACAAUGGCGACGAUUCCCCCCUCCGGGAGGGAAAUUUCCCCGGCAGGAUCGUCUUGCUGGAGCCCUAGAUUGGAUCUGCUCAAGUUCCGCCUCGUGGUGGCGGCGAAACCACGAAAGAGCUCCCUUUUGAUUUUUUUUCCAGACCAGGACGCUUCAUAUAGCAAAAGAGGGGGGCAAGUGGGCCUUCAGGCAGCCCACAAGCUUGCCCACCACCACGAGGGGGGUGGUGGCGGAGUGGGGGCUUGUGGGGCCCUGGUGGCCCCCCUCCGGUAGUUUUUCGCCCAAUAUUUUUAAUAUAUUCCAGAAAAGAUCCACAUAAAUUUUCAGGGCAUUUGGAGAUGUGCAGAAUAGUGGACUAGGAUUUGCUCCUUUUCCAGUCCAGAAUUCCAGCUGCCUGAAUUCUCCCUCUUCAAAUAAUCCUUGCAAAAUAAGAUAGAAAAGGCAUAAAUAUGGUACCACAAGUAAUAUAACAGACCAAAAAGCAAUAAAUAUCAACAUGAAAGCAUGAUGCAAAAUGGACGUAUCAGUGGUCUACCCCAAGACACAAGGUAUGUAUAUGCUAUGUUUGCUGAUUUAUGUUCUACACAUCAGGAUGGGAAUGGGCCAUGGUCCCCUUCUUCCUCUUCCAUGUUUCUGAUCAGAGUAGGAACAAUAGAGAGCAUCAACUUUCAAAAUCAACACCAUAUGUAUUACACUGACUCUUAUAUAGUACUAGUUGUUCAUGUACUUGUGCUAGUGCAGGAUAACUGAAAUAUUUCCAAAUCAAAUAUGCUCAGACUCGUAUUGUCCUACUAUACUACUGCCUAUUCCACUUUCUUUCAACUUGGCAAAUAACAUUAUGCGUUUUUGUAGGAAACCUGUGUGUCGAACAAGAUUAAUCGAGAAAAGGUCGUGUACCAAUAGAGAGCUGGUUCCAGGCACUACACCGCACACAUUUUUGCCACUGUGAGUACCUUUUUCUAAAGACCUUACCGUUUGAUCCUCGUUGAAUAUCAUUUCUUAUUCUUGCUGAAUAGCAUUUCGAUUUUUGUUGAAAAACAUUUCAGAAAGAAGAGCGUAAGGGUGAGGAGCUGUCUGCGAUUGACUUGUUCAAGGCCACCCACAACAGCAAGAAGCACGGGUUUUCGGAGCCAGUCAAGAUUGCUAUAGUAAGUCACUCCAUGCUUUUGUCCAGCUAGUUCAAACUUUUGUCUAUAGACCUCAGCCCUGUUUGAUUCACAGCCAGCAAGAACACACACUAUGUUCCAUGAUUUGAUGUUGUUUGCUAGAGCCUAAGAUAGGUUUGGUAUCUCAACAAAGAUAUCGGAAUUUGUUGUACAGUUCUCAACAAAGAUAUCAGAAUUUGCUGUAGCUAUUUGUUGCAUUUUUAUGAUAUGAUGAAAAUUGAUUUGAAUGUUAGUUCUCAACAAAGAAGCCAUAUUAUAUAGAACCACCAUAUUGUUCUGAUUGCAUGUCUCUAGAUCACAUAAGCGUGUAUACUUACUGUAGCCAGAUUCAAAUAAUGCUAUAAGUUUAGUAGUUAUCAUCUACUUCUGUUUGAGUUUGAGUAAAAUAUCUACAUAUAGAUUUUGUGUGCUGGUUUGAUUACUUCAAAUAAUCCAUUUCUUGGUCUGGUUUGGUGGCAUUCUUGUUUGGUUUCUCUUGCAGAAUGUGAAAUAGAUCUGCCACUAAUGUCUAUCAUUUUACUCCAUAUGCUAGCUUGAGAUGGAAAAAAUGAAGGACGCGCCGAUACCAGAAGGUGAAGAACCAAAGUCUAAUGCUGAGAUUGUUGAAGAAGUGCUCAAGACUGAAGUCAACCAAAGCACAUUCCUCAGGAAUGUUGGGCUCAAGUCAUCUAGUAAGAACUCUGGCAAAGGAACUGCUGUUGUGGCUGCUCAUGUUCGUGAUCUUCAACAGAAGCUGGAGAGGUCGGAGCUUCAAGCUGAAGUGAUGCAAGAAGAAAUGGCAGCAAUCAAGCUAAAGGUGGAAGAAUAUGAAGCUGCACGCGACAAGGAACUUGAGCUGCUGCAUAAGAAGUCUCAGGAACAGGAAGAGAAGUUAGCCCACUUGAUGGCUCUCUUCGGCGCUAAAGCAUUGUAGAAGUUGAACCUGUUGUUAGAACCUGUCCUAGAAACAGUGAAGUGGGCUAACUUCUCAAGAACCUGAUGAAGUUAGCCCACUUGAUUGGUCAUUCUGGUGAUCAAACAAUGUCGUGCUCUAUUUUGUGAAGUCGUGCACCUGUGAAGUUGUCAAUUAUUUAAGUUUUGUUUUGACCAUUUUGUUUGGGCACUAAAGUUAGUUUGGACAGCAAAAAGGCCAAGGCCCAAACAAGAAAUAGACUAAGAAGGCUUGGGCCUAAAAAAAGAGUAGGCCAAGGCCCAAAAGAAAAGUGGACUAAUAAAAAACCUGCUCAGUAAAAGAUUCUAUCCGAGAAAAUAAAAAGGCCAAAUUAUUGGGCCCGGCUCAUGUAGAUGAUCGGAAUGGACCGGGCUGAAUCUUAUUUACGACCUUUUCAUUUGGUCAUAAUUCUGCCACGUCAGGCUGUCACGGUGGAUCUGACAUGGUGCGGGCAGAUUGCUAGUGACCAAAUCAUUUGGUCGUUAAACUUACGACCUUCUGUUUGGUCAUAAAAUCUUACGACCAAUCCAGAAAAAAGGUCGUUAUAGUUCAUUAAAGACCCUCAGCUUUAGACCUUCUGUUUUUGGUCAUAAAAAGGUCACAAAUGGAAAUCAAUGACCAUUUAGUGACCAAUAUUGAAGGUCGUUAGUUGACAUAUUUCUUGUAGUGCCUUUUGAGUUUUCACAUACUUAUAGCUCUAGUGCAUCCUUUGUAUGGCAAUCCCUAAUCAUUCACAUUGAUAUCUAUUAAUGGGCAUCUCCAUAGCCUUUUGAUAUGCCGAGUCAAUGUGACCAUCUCCUCCUUUUUGUCUAACAACCACCACCACACUCUAUUCCACAUAUAGUGCUAUAUCCAUGGCUCGCGCUCAUGUAUUGCGGGAUAGUUAUAAAAAGUUUGAGAAAGUAAGAGUGUAAAAACAAUUACUUGGCCAAUACCGGGGUUGUGCAUGAUUUACAUUAGUUGUGUGAGGAUGAUGGAGCAUAGCCAGACUAUAUGAUUUUGUAGGGAUAACUUUCUUUGGCCUUGUUAUUUUGAAAGUUCAUGAUUACCUUCCUAGUUUGCUUGAAGUAUUAUAGUUUUCAUGUCAAUAGCAAACUAUUGUUUUGAAUCUUAUGGAUCUGAACAUUCAUGUCGCGUGAAAGAAGUUGCAAAGGACAACUAUGCUAGGUAGCAUUCCACAUCAAAAAUUCAUUCUUUAUCACUUCCCUACUCGAGGACGAGCAGGAGUUAAGCUUGGGGAUGCUUGAUACGUCUCCAACGUAUCUAUAAUUUUUGAUGGUUUCAUGCUAUUAUCUUGUCAAACCUUGGAUGUUUUGUAUGCCUUUUAUAUAUUUUUUGGGACUAACUUAUUAACUCAGUUUCAAGUGCCAGUUCCUGUUUUUUCCAUCUUUUUGAUCCCUUUCAGAGGAGGAUUUUAAACGGAGUCCAAACGGAAUGAAACUGCCAAAAAGAUUUUUUCCGGAACAGAAAAAGAUCGGAGAGCCGGAGAAUCAGGACAGGGGCCCACCAGGGACCCCACAAGCCCUCAUGGCGCGGCCAGGGGGAGGCUGCGACCCCCUGGCUUGUGGGCUCCCUGAGGCCCCUUUGCCCUAGGUUUUGCGCCUAUAUAUUCCCUAAAAAUCCCAAAAAAAUCAGGAGAUCAUCGAAAGUACUUUUCCGCUGCCGCAAGCUUCUGUCUCCGCAAGAUCCCAUCUGGGGCAGGUUCUGGUGUCCUGCCGGAGGGGGGAUUCGGAUACGGAGGGCUUCUUCAUCAACACCAUGACCUCUCCGAUGAUGCGUGAGUAGUUCACCAUAGACCUACGGGUCCAUAGCUAGUAACUAGAUGGCUUCUUCUCUCUCUUGGAUCUUCAAUACAAAGUUCUCCAUGAUCUUCAUGGAGAUCUAUCCAAUGUAAUCUUCUUUUGCGGUGUAUUUGUCGAGAUCCGAUGAAUUGUGGAUUUAUGAUCAGAUUAUCUAUGAAUCUUAUUUGAGUUUCUUCUGAUCUCUGUUAUGCAUGAUUUCAUAUCCUUGUAAUUCUCUUCGAGUUGUGGGUUUUGUCUGGCCAACUAGAUCUAUGAUUCUCGCAAUGGGAGAAGUGCUUGGUUUUGGGUUCAUACCGUGCAGUGACUUCACCCAGUGACAGAAGGGGUAGCAAGGCACGCAUCGUGUUGUUGCUAUCAAGGGUAAAAAGAUGGGGUUUUCAUCAUUGGUUUGAGAUUAUCCCUCUACAUCAUGUCACCUUGCUUAAGGCGUUACUCUGUUCGUCGUGAACUCAAUACACUAGAUGCAUGCUGGAUAGCGGUCGAUGUGUGGAUUAAUAGUAGUAGAUGCAGAAAGUAUCGGUCUACUUGUCUCGGACGUGAUGCCUAUAUGUAUGAUCAUUGCCUUAGAUAUCGUCAUGACUUUGCGCGGUUCUAUCAAUUGCUCAACAGUAAUUUGUUCACCCACCAUAAUACUUGCUAUUUUGAGAGAAGCCUCUAGUGAACACUAUGGCCCCCAGGGUCUACUCCACACCGUAUUUUCAUCCUUACACUUUUUACUUCAUUGCACUUUCCUCCUUCAGAUCUCACUUUGCAAACAAUCUUGAAGGGAUUGACAACCCCUUUAUAGCGUUGGGUGCAAGCUCUUUUGUGUUUGCGCAGGUACUCUGGACUUGACGAGAUUCUCCUACUGGAUUGAUACCUUGGUUCUCAAAUUGAGGGAAAUACUUACUGCUCUGUGCUGCAUCACCCUUUCCUCCUCAAGGGAAGAACCAACGCAAGCCCAAGAGACGACAGAAGGAUCUCUGGCACCACUGCCGGGGAAGAACUUUUGUUGCCGUAGCAGUGGCCGCCUGGGCAGGUCCUGGCCCCCUCUGGCCCACCUUUGGUGCUCAUGAAGCUUCCGUCAUGCUGAUUUUUAUAUAUUUUCUCGGGAUUUUUGGCGUUGUGUAAAUUGGGGUAAAAGUCCCUGCAGAAAAGACAUCAGCAGACAGAAACUGGCACUGGGUGCAUUGAGUUAGUCAGUUAGUCCAAAUAUGUGUAAAAAUGUAUGAAAGUGUAGCAAAACAUAUAACAAUGUCACCCAAAAGAUCAUGGAAUAAACAUAAAUUAUAGAUACGUUUGGGACGUAUCAAUUCCUGCCAGAGGAGAUCGAAGAGCGUGGAGAGGCCAUAGCAGCGUCUGGGGAUGACGGGGUGUGGUGGCAGAAGUGGUGUAGUGGCGAGGCGGCGACACGAGGUGGUGGCGGCGACAACGGCGGGUGUGGCGGCAGGGAGAGGCGGCGGCGACGGCACGGAGGAAGGGCGCGACGGCGGCGGCGGCGUUGGUGGCGGCGACGCAAGAGAGGGCGCGGCGACGACGGCGGUGGCGGCGGCCGCGGCUGCGCAUGAGAUGCCGGCGGUGGCGACGAUGGCUAGGUCAGGAUCGUGGAGGAAACUGAUACCAUGUAGAGGAUUAGGUUUAGGCUGUGCAACUCUUAAUAUUGAUUGGAUGCACUAUGCAUGUAUAUAUAGGUACAAGAUGGGCCUCUGCCUCAACUAUACAAGGAACUAGAAGGUGUGCCCAAUGACACAAUAUACAUGCACAAAUAUAUAUUCAACAACUAUAUUUGCACAAAACACACAAUGACGUGUGGGGACAGUUUGUCAUAGACACAUUGCGCACUAGCAUACGUACAUGUAUAUAUAUAGUAGCAAAACUCGUAUUCACGUACACAUGCACACACGUGUGUACUUACACACAUGCAGCACACACACACACGUACACAUGCAGCACACACGUACACAUGCAACACACACGCGUACACGUAACAAAAAAACACGUACACGUACACACACAACACACGCGCAACACACACACUAGUACACGGACCCACCUGUCAUUGAGAUAAAGUGAGGCUUGUUAAAAAUUUAUAAAGUGGCCUUUGGCUUGGCAAAUAUGUAAAGUGUUGGUGCAAAUAUAGCAAGCUUUGUAAAAAAUAUUGAUGAAACCAUUUAUACAAAGGCUGUUGAAAAAGAUUUUUUGAAAAAGAUUUAUAAAAUAACAAGUGAACGUAAAUAUACAAAGGCUGUUGGAGAUACUUUGAACCAGGAAGCCAGCGUUCUGCUCUUUCUUUCCUGUACUAAGUGUCUCGUUGGUUGAAGCAACAUCUUCCCCAAUGCCUCACAAUCCAAUUACCAUUAUUCACCUCACAUGGGUGACAAAUCUUGAAUCCAUACACCACACGAGAAGAACAAAAGAGAAUGUAGAUCAUACCGGUGCCCAUCCUGUAUUUUAUUAUUAUAAAGUGGUGGAUAUGGACCAUAGUAUUUGUUGUAUACUUCUUUGCAUUGCAAGAAAUGAUGUAUCUUGAAGGACAUAUAUAGAGAGAGAGGGGUGUAAUGACCAUGUAUAGUUCUAGCUAUAAAUUAUGCAGCCGGGCCUGUAGAUAUCUCAACCACCUGCAUCCAUGAUACAAUUGAUUCUUUUGUGAGCAUUGGGAUUGCCCCACGAAAAGAAAAACAAAAAAACUGAGAGGCAACAAAAACUGAUGGUACGCGUCCUUAGAACUGCACGACAAGUGUAGUUAGCCAUCUCAAAACUGAUGUCAACAAAAGCUGGUGGUUCCUUAGAUGAUCCACAAUUCCAGGGGCUAAACUUCUAUAUAUAUCUCUCGAGCAAAUUUUAACAUGUUUCUUGUUACUCCCUAUUUUCAUACGGAAGGUAAGAAGGUAAGAGUUAAUCGGACUCACCAAUUAAUGCAAUCAAUGGUUCAGAUUUAUUUUACACUCUUACCUCUAUGUGAAAAGGGGAGGUAAGAGGGAGCAUGUUAAAAAACCUCAUCUUCCACAUAGCAAAAAUAAAUAAAUACCACCUAUCUUUACAACACCCUUCCCAAUUUUCUUUAACUUCACUGAAAUCAUCACCGUAUAUAAUAGAGCAAUUAGGUUUAAGUGUGUUUUUUGACAGUGGAUUUUUAACAUCUGGGUGCCUAGGCACGCUCUACGAACACUAACAUCAAAAUAAAUAGAAAAAAUAAUAAUUCUGAAACUUUGCAAGAUCAAAGACGAUCAAACUUUGUAGGUGCUUGUAAGUUUUCAUGCCAAAAAACAUUUGAGGAGGUCUACACAUGAAAAACAUUUCAGUACUUCAAAAUUUGAGCACUUUUAGCACCGAAAUCUAAAACUUGUUUGUACACCUUUCAUUACAUGAUAUUUUGGCAUGAAACUUGUUUCUCCCGAAGCAGUGUCCACCACCAACACCGUCGAGGAUCCACAUAGUGCCCACCACCACUUAGCCCUCAAGGCAACGCCUUCAGGAAGGUCACGCCGUCAAGGACGUCGCCGCCGCCCACCGGAGUUAUGGUUUUCACCCGAGGGCGGGUCGGGGGGAAGUAGAGGGGCAGACAUAGACUGGCGUCUCCAAGAAGAAAAUCGGCACCCUUGAGCGUCGUCGUCGGUGCGACCAGACGUGGCCGACCAAGAGUUUCCCCCAAUCUGUAUCUCCUUACCAGCUUCACCCGCAACCACAUGCCAAGGUCCCGGCAAGCCUGUCCGCUAGGAACCUUCACCCCCGCGCCCUGUGACCGAGUCCAAUCGUCGUGUCCCGACCACACCGACAACCAGCAUCACCACCAUGAGCUGCCCCACCGCGAAGACAAACAGGAGCAGGGAGCGAGCGAAGGACGCCCCAGCCCGGGCCAGCCACAUCCGCCGGGGGGCAGCCUCGCGCCAUCCGUGUCGCCGACGACCAGAUCGGGGUUGCGGACACCACGUGCACACCCCAAGCAGCCAUCCACGUAGUCACUAGGGCGCCACAACAGCCGUGGAGAACGCACGGGAGCCCGCCGUCGCCACCUGAGCCUGCCCCUCGCGCUCCGCCAUCAGCUCGCCGCCAGCCUCCGAGAGGACCGCCAGUGCCAUUCCCAUCAGCAGAGGGGAGAGGAAGUCCCGCCGCAGCCGACACCAGCUGUGCUUNNNNNNNNNNNNNNNNNNNNNNNNNNNNNNNNNNNNNNNNNNNNNNNNNNNNNNNNNNNNNNNNNNNNNNNNNNNNNNNNNNNNNNNNNNNNNNGGUGGAGCCGGCGGCACUAGGGGUUCCCCCUCGGUCGCCACAGGAACGACGCAAGGGGGGUACACGAGGGGGAUAAAAAAUGUGAUGAGACCAUAAACAAUCUAGGGUGCCUAGGCACCCGGGUGCUGUUAUACCUUUCUCUUUUUAGAUAAGAAAUUCACAGAAUCUAUCCUUGUUGAUAGAAAGAAUGCUAGUUUAAGAUGAAAAGGAAGUGCUCGUGGAUGUGGAUGUGACCACCAUGAAGCAUGCCUCCUUUGCAAUCAAUCUAUCAAAUCUGUUGUGCAUAUUUUCUGUCAGUGUCCCUUCUCUGUGGGAACGACUUGAGCUCCAUCAAGAUGCCUUGGUGGAGCAACGUCGCUACGUACUGGGAACCAAAAGAAUGCAACUGUUGCAGCCUAUUCUUCCUGGCAUAUUUGGAACGAACGAAAUCAAUGUAUUUUUCAGAACUCCAUCGCGAACCAUAGCGUUGCCGUCAGUCAGAGAUCAUCUUUGAUCUCGCCAAGCUGGGUGCCCCAAAUCCGCGGGUUUAAUCUCUCUCAUUGUUGCACAGUCAGCGCCUAAUGGCGACUGAACCCCUUUCUUGUUCUCCUAAACUAUUACAUGAAUCUUCCUAGUCUAUAAUGCAAAGGCCGAGUUCCUGUCAGUUUAGCUUCAAAAAAAGAUGGAAAGGAAGUGAAUGAAGUCAGCUAACUUUAGCUUUAUGUGCUCGCUUGAUUAAUAUUUAAUGCUAGUAAACAUUUGUUCACGGCACCUUUUUCUGAUCUUGGCAUGCACUGCAUUGCACGGAGCAAGAUCAUUUCCACGUACUUUGUCGUGGUGUGCAAGACACACAAGACAGCAAGGACCGGAAAAGUCCCUUCCCCGAUCCCCUGAUGGCAGUGGCUGAGGUGGAAGGAGCAGCUGUGGCUGGGGGGGGUGCUGCAGCCGGCGGAGGAACAUAUGUUUGGGAUGGAGCCAACGACGACUCUAACAUGCAGGGCAUCGAGUGCUGGGGGUUGAGAUCAUAACGGGAGCUAGGAGACAAGCUAAGCACGGGAGGAAGUUUUGCUAGGCUCGCAUACAGAUUAUGUCAAACUCAAGACUAGGCUGAAACCAAGUCCAACUUUUAAGGCUUAGAUGAGCGUGGCAAAGCCGUGGCUUGCCUCGGCUCGUUUCCAUCCCAAGGACUAGCCUCUAGCUAGACAGGGAGUGUUUAACUUUCUUUUUUUCCAUAGUGGAUUGGUGACAGUAGUUACAUUUUUUCCAAUGACUCUCAAUCCAAUUACCACUCGUCUCACGACGGAAAUAGAUCUUGAAUUCAUAGAGUAUGGGAGAAGAACAAAGAAGGAUGUAGAUCAUACCGUGGUUGCCAGGGUGUUUAUUGUUCCAUGUAUUGCAAGAGAUGUUGUAUCUUGGGGGAUAUAUGUAGAGAUAUCUGUGAUAACGACGAAAAUAUUUCACACCUCUUUUCUCCAAUGCCCACUUGCGAGAGUUUUUUGGCAGACGGUUCACAUAGCCUUUAAUAUUAUACCUCCGGGCAGUAUUGACACGUUAUUUG